rnacentral:lncRNA from 1 species
GAGGAGCUUUCAAUACUUUGGGGUCAAGUUUGAGGCAGUUGUAACUGUACUGAGUUUAGUUUUGCUAAUAAUGGUAUUCUACGUGUGUCAGCCUCGUGUGGACUUCUGUAAUGACUAAUGGAUAUGUUUAUAUCCUGAGCAUUUGCUGUAGGAAUUUUAAAUGCAAUCCCAAAACUCAAGAUUACCUUAUUUGGAGAAAUAUUCGUGUUACUAUGUUUAAAAUUUAAUAGAACCAUAUUUUACCUUUCACUUUGGGACUCGCACAGGAUGUUUGCAGCUCUUGAUAUACAGGAACUAGAACGUGUCUUUUAAGAGCAUGCGGUUUUAUAAUUACGUGGAAGUAUGCUACGCAAGGGAAAAAAGCCUCUUGCUAGUGUUAAGGGUCUUCAUAAACAGAAACCGCAAGGAACCUGGGAUCUGACAGCUGUUGGAGGAAUGCCUGUGAGGAAGGAGGAGGAACAGAAGAAUGCUUUGAUGUCUUAAAUGGUACAUCCAAACUUAAGUGAAAUAGAGCUGUGAGGACAUUUUGGGGAGAAGUGACCUAGAUAAGCACUGACUGUUGCAUUCAUCUCUCUUCUUGCUGAUUGUGAUGAUUUCCUGUGCCAUAGCCAUUCAAAGUCUGCCAAAAAAGAGCUAUGCCACGUGUACCUCCUGCCUGAUGUCUUCCCAGAUGUAUACUUCAGGAAGAAUUAAAUAUUCCUGCAAUUCUGGUUUCACAAAAUAUUAUAUGUAGUUCUAUUAAUUUCCA